CUUUAACGGCCGCAGUACUCUGACUGUGCUAAGGUAGCAUAAUCAUUUGUCUUUUAAUUGAAGACUGGAAUGAAUGGCAUCAUGGAGAUAGUCUGUCUUAAAAGCAUUUUUUAAAAUUUUCUGAAGAGGUGAAAAUACCUCUAAAUUGCCAAAAUAAGACGAGAAGACCCUUAGAAUUAUAACAAUACUCUUUUUGAGGAACGUUUUUGUUGGGGCAACAUGAUUAGAUUGUAACUGAUCGAAAUUAAAUUAGACAUAGCCACUAUAAUAAAAAAGAAUUUAAUUACCUAAGGGAUAACAGCAUAAUUCAAAUAUGAGAGUAUGACCUCGAUGUUGGACUAGGGACUUUUACCAUUAGAUGUGGUAAUAAGAUUGUUCUGUUCGAACAAUGGAACCCUACGUGAUCUGAGUUCAG
rnacentral:rRNA from 1 species